rnacentral:rRNA from 1 species
CCUAAGAAACCCAAAAGAUCGAAUGGGGAGAUUCAUCGUCAGCUCAUUUUGUAUAUGUAUAAGUUACGAUGCGGGUUACUCUUGUAGUAUUGCCUGCACGUUCUUGUAUAUUUAGUUGCAAGAUGUUGUCGGCGUGCACUUCUCCCCUAGUAGGACGUCGCGACCCGUUGGGUGUCGGUCUACGGCCCAAGUGGGAGUCUUUAAUGUUUAAAAAUAUUAAAGACCCUUGGUGUUUCCUGACCGGCUACCCGGCGGUACUCGUACGGUAUUAAGCCGCAUUUAUAUGCGUCUAUACCCGUCGCAAGCGAGGCUAGUUUCUGAUAGUACGGACCUAGUGCCGUCGUUGGAGCUGGCCAGCUGUUGGCUGUUACGGUGUUCUAAGACUGGCUUAAACUAAUUACCGGUCGGCGAUGCUACUGCUUUGGGUACUUUCAGGACCCGUCUUGAAACACGGACCAAGGAGUCUAACAUGUGCGCGAGUCAUUGGGAUUUUUUUAAAAUUAAACCUAAAGGCGUAAUGAAAGUAAAGGUCGUCCUUGCGUCGACCGAGGGAGGAUGGGCUGUGUUAAGAUAUAGCUCCGCACUCCCGGGGCGUCUCAUUCUCAUUAUGAGAAGAGGCGCACCUNN